rnacentral:rRNA from 1 species
AGUGAACGCUGGCGGUAGGCCUAACACAUGCAAGUCGAACGGCAGCACAGUAAGAGCUUGCUCUUACGGGUGGCGAGUGGCGGACGGGUGAGGAAUACAUCGGAAUCUACUUUUUCGUGGGGGAUAACGUAGGGAAACUUACGCUAAUACCGCAUACGACCUACGGGUGAAAGCAGGGGAUCUUCGGACCUUGCGCGAUUGAAUGAGCCGAUGUCGGAUUAGCUAGUUGGCGGGGUAAAGGCCCACCAAGGCGACGAUCCGUAGCUGGUCUGGGAGGAUGAUCAGCCACACUGGAACUGAGACACGGUCCAGACUCCUACGGGAGGCAGCAGUGGGGAAUAUUGGACAAUGGGCGCAAGCCUGAUCCAGCCAUACCGCGUGGGUGAAGAAGGCCUUCGGGUUGUAAAGCCCUUUUGUUAGGAAAGAAAAGCAGCAGGUUAAUACCCCGCUGUUCUGACGGUACCCAAAGAAUAAGCACCGGCUAACUUCGUG